rnacentral:rRNA from 1 species
GACAUAGGUGGCGAACGUUAUCCGGAAUUAUUGGGCGUAAAGGAUGCGUAGAUGGUAUAGUAAGUUAUCGGUGGUAAAUCGAGGCUCAACCUCGUGGAAGUCGGUAAUACUGCUAUACUAGAGGAUAGGAGAAGUUAACGGAACUUCCUGUGGAGCGGUGAAAUGCGUAGAGAUCGGAAAGAACACCAACGGCGAAAGCACUCUGCUGGGCCGACACUGACACUGAGAGACGAAAGCUAGGGGAGCGAAUGGG